rnacentral:misc_RNA from 1 species
AGAUUUUAGUUUCAUCAAGAAAACCCCUGUAUGUAAAGUCAUUAACAACUAUCAAAAAAUAUCUGUGACCAUGUAUUGAAGGAACUGAAUAUGGUCACCAAAUGUCCAAUGAACAAGCUGAAAAGGGUUUACGGUAUGAGUUUCACUUAUAAAAAAGGGAAACUUCUUUUGUUUUACAAAAUGACAUGUCACAUGUAUGAGAU